rnacentral:tRNA from 1 species
GCGCAGGUGGAGAAACGGUAGACUCGUCACCUUGAGGUGGUGGUGCCCGCAAGGGCGUGGAGGUUCAAAUCCUCUCCUGCGCA